rnacentral:rRNA from 1 species
CGCUGGCGGCGUGCUUAACACAUGCAAGUUGAACGGUAUGACAUGGAAGCUUGCUGAAGUGUCAUAUAGUAGCGGACGGGUGAGUAAUGCAUGAGAAGCUGCCAUUGGGAGGGGGACAACAGUUGGAAACGGCUGCUAAUACCCCGUAUGCCGGAGGGUGAAAGGGAGUAAUCCGCCCGAUGAGGUGCUCAUGUCCUAUCAGCUGGUUGGUGGGGUAACGGCCUACCAAGGCGACGACGGGUAGCCGGCCUGAGAGGGUGAACGGCCACACUGGAACUGAGAUACGGUCCAGACUCCUACGGGAGGCAGCAGUGGGGAAUAAUUGGGCAAUGGGGGCAACCCUGACCCAGCGACGCCGCGUGGGGGAAGACGGCCUUCGGGUUGUAAACCUCUUUUGUACGGGAAGAAGGAAGUGACGGUACUGUACGAAUAAGUCCCGGCUAACUACGUGCCAGCCGCCGC